rnacentral:rRNA from 1 species
AUUGAACGCUGGCGGCAGGCUUAACACAUGCAAGUCGAGCGGAGCGAGGGUGCUUGCACCUUAGCUUAGCGGCGGACGGGUGAGUAAUGCUUAGGAAUCUGCCUAUUAGUGGGGGACAACAUUCCGAAAGGGAUGCUAAUACCGCAUACGCCCUACGGGGGAAAGCAGGGGAUCUUCGGACCUUGCGCUAAUAGAUGAGCCUAAGUCGGAUUAGCUAGUUGGUGGGGUAAAGGCCUACCAAGGCGACGAUCUGUAGCGGGUCUGAGAGGAUGAUCCGCCACACUGGGACGGAGACACGGCCCAGACUCCUACGGGAGGCAGCAGUGGGGAAUAUUGGACAAUGGGCGGAAGCCUGAUCCAGCCAUGCCGCGUGGGUGAAGAAGGCCUUUUGGUUGUAAAGCACUUUAAGCGAGGAGGAGGCUACUAGUAUUAAUACUACUGGAUAGUGGACGUUACUCGCAGAAUAAGCACCGGCUAACUCUGUGCCAGCCGCCGCCGUAACAC